UACGUAGGGUACAAGCGUUAAUCGGAAUUACUGGGCGUAAAGCGUGCGCAGGCGGUUAUGUAAGUCAGAUGUGAAAUCCCCAGGCUCAACCUGGGAAUGGCAUUUGAGACUGCAUGGCUAGAGUGUGUCAGAGGGGGGUAGAAUUCCACGUGUAGCAGUGAAAUGCGUAGAGAUGUGGAGGAAUACCGAUGGCGAAGGCAACCCCCUGGGAGUAACACUGACGCUCAUGCACGAAAGCGUGGGGA
rnacentral:rRNA from 1 species